rnacentral:rRNA from 1 species
CAAGUCGAGCGCCGUAGCAAUACGGAGCGGCAGACGGGAGAGUAACACGUGGGAACGUGCCCUUCAGUUCGGAACAACCCAGGGAAACUUGGGCUAAUACCGGAUACGUCCGUAAGGAGAAAGAUUAAUCGCUGAAGGAUCGGCCCGCGUCUGAUUAGCUUGUUGGUGAGGUAACGGCUCACCAAGGCGACGAUCAGUAGCUGGUCUGAGAGGAUGAUCAGCCUCACUGGGGACUGAGACACGGGCCAGACUCCUACGGNAGGCAGCAGUGGGGGAAUAUGGNACCAUGGGGCGCCAGCCUGAAUCAACCAUGCCGCGUUGGGUGAUGAAAGGCCCUAUGGGUUGUUAAGGCCCUUUCCGGCGGGGGAAAUAUAAGACCGUUACCCGCAGAGAAAGCCCCGGGUUAACUUCGUGG